rnacentral:rRNA from 1 species
GACGAACGCUGGCGGCGUGCUUAACACAUGCAAGUCGAACGAAGAGCGAUGGAAGCUUGCUUCUAUCAAUCUUAGUGGCGCACGGGUGAGUAACGCGUAAUCAACCUGCCCUUCAGAGGGGGACAACAGUUGGAAACGACUGCUAAUACCGCAUACGAUCUAAACUCGGCAUCGAGGAUAGAUGAAAGGUGGCCUCUACAUGUAAGCUAUCACUGAAGGAGGGGAUUGCGUCGGAUUAGCUCGUUGGAGGGGUAACGGACCACCAAGGCGAUGAUCAGUAGCCGGACGGAGAGGACGAACGGCCGCAUUGGGACUGAGACACGGCCCAGACUCCCACGGGAGGCAGCAGUGGGGAAUCUUCCGCAAUGGACGGAAGUCUGACGGAGCAACGCCGCGUGAGUGAUGACGGCCUUCGGGUUGGAAAGCUCUGUUUAUCGGGACGAAAGGCCUUCUUGCGAAUAGUGAGAAGGAUUGACGGUACCGGAAUAGAAAGCCACGGCUAACUACGUG